ACUGAUCCACAACCCACCAGCCAUGGCUGUACCUACAUCUGUAACCAUUGCGAACCCAUGUGGGCAUAUGCAUUACGCCGCAUUGUCUUCCGUCGGCAAGGCGUCCCAAUCCCCGAGCAAUUGGCCAAUUAUCGGGUAUUCAUGCCGCAAUUGAUCCCAGACUUUCGCAGCCAUCCUGGGUGCACUUGCAGGUUGCGCCUAAAAGUGAUGUAAAUUUCAGAUUGAAAUGUGUGCAACUCAUAUUGUGUAAUCAAUAAGGCAACUGCGAUGUGUAGUCAUUUUCUCUCUAAAUGGAGUUACAGUGCUGCAAGGAAUUUAAAGCUGCCCAAAAAAUAUAAAUUUCAGUCCGUCGCGCCUUUGAAGAAGUCCUCUAUAAGGACCAACUCCCCAGAUACACAUACACUCAUACAGAUACUCGCACAGAUACGUAUACAACCUCAGGGAUACAUAUAGAGCACCCACACAUGCAGACACCCAACUGAACCUAACGACAUAAUAAAACCGGCAUUUUUAUGCAUGUCUGAGUAACUUCAUGAGCCAGACCAGACCAGACCGUCAACCCCCGUCCGCCCAACUACCUUUCGGCCCCACCGCCCACCGCCACGCCUUGCCGGAGUUUUCCUGCUUUUCACUUCCAGUGCAGACAGUCGGCUUUUCUGUUUCAGGUUCACUGGAAGCCAUCGACGGUUCCCGUGGCCUCGCCUUUUCCCGCUAUAGUAUCGCUCUCUCUAGCCAUAGGGAGCGAUUCUGCGC
ensembl:ncRNA lncRNA:CR45585 long non-coding RNA:CR45585